GACGAACGCUGGCGGCGUGCCUAAUACAUGCAAGUAGAACGCUGAAGGAGGAGCUUGCUUCUCCGGAUGAGUUGCGAACGGGUGAGUAACGCGUAGGUAACCUGCCUGGUAGCGGGGGAUAACUAUUGGAAACGAUAGCUAAUACCGCAUAAGAGUAGAUGUCGCAUGACAUUUGCUUAAAAGGUGCAACUGCACCACUACCAGAUGGACCUUCGUUGUAUUAGCUAGUUGGUGAGGUAACGGCUCACCAAGGCAACGAUACAUAGCCGACCUGAGAGGGUGAUCGGCCACACUGGGACUGAGACACGGCCCAGACUCCUACGGGAGGCAGCAGUAGGGAAUCUUCGGCAAUGGACGGAAGUCUGACCGAGCAACGCCGCGUGAGUGAAGAAGGUUGUCGGAUCGUAAAGCUCUGUUGUAAGAGAAGAACGAGUGUGAGAGUGGAAAGUUCACACUGUGACGGUAUCUUACCAGAAAGGGACGGCUAACUACGUG
rnacentral:rRNA from 1 species